AGGGACAGCCCCCCAUCAUCCGGGGCGGGGUCUGAGGUGCCACAGGGAAGCAGAAACUCAUGGAGAGAGGGGGGAGGUUGAAAGUCCGAGUUGCUUCUGGGUUCCUAUGAAAGGAUGUGAGCCUUACACAGUCAAUGAAAUAGAAUAUAAAAACCUGACUGGUGAAAUGAAUCAGCUCUACCACACACCUUACAAAGAUGUGGAUGAGGUAAAACCAGUAAUGGUAGAAGAAGGACAGCAUUCAGGUGGCACUGGAAGCAUUCAUGUGGAUCCCAUAUAGAGCAAAGAAAUGUAGACUGUAUCGCACACAGCCAGUGACACUGCAUGUCCACUUCUGUGGAAGUACUGCAGGAACAGUGGGACGGGAAUUUGAAAUGCGAGUCGGGAGGUGGAGAGUGAUACAAGAUGGAGGCCACCACGCGGACCCUUCAGCCAGAGAGGGAGGAAGGAACGAGAAGCAGUAGACCGGAGACCCCUCUGCAAGCCGUGGCGAGAAUACAAGCUGUGCCCCUGAAACCUAUGGAGAUUCGUGGCAAGACUGAGAGCCACCAACAGCUCCGUGUGGGUGAGCCCGGACGGGCGGGGGACUGUGUGGGGAGAUGGCCAUGGCCCAGGCCGUGUUGGAGAGCCUGCGCGCCGCAGAGCAGCCCCACACGAGAGGCAGAGAGGAGCUGCAGCCUUUGGAAUAAGUGGGCAUCGGAGCAGCCCGUGCAAGUCUGCCAUGCUUGUGAGUUACCCCACGGACUUGCAGGGAGGACUGGUGUGGAGUUCACCCGUCCUGAGGAGGGACAAACGGCAGAAGCUCUCGGAAACCGACUGACUGAACCCCCCACUGCCUGCCCCCCCGAACCGUUCGGGGGGGGGGCAAGGUAAAAACACCGGGAUCAGGGCUCUGAACCCGGGAAGAGGGGAGGGGUGGCAAGAAGGUGUUCUUAAAAAGGCUGGUUGGACUCUCCAUUGAUGUAUUAC